UACAGAGGUCCCGAGCGUUGUUCGGAUUCACUGGGCGUAAAGGGUGCGUAGGCGGUCGGAUAAGUUUGAUGUGAAAUCUCCGGGCUUAACCCGGAAACUGCAUUGAAUACUAUUCGGCUUGAGGUCUGGAGGGGGGACUGGAAUUCUCGGUGUAGCAGUGAAAUGCGUAGAUAUCGGAGGAAGACACCAGUGGCGAAGGCGACUACCUGGA
rnacentral:rRNA from 1 species